rnacentral:rRNA from 1 species
GUGUGUGAGACUCCUUAUAGAUGAUGAGGUUGAUAGGCCAGGUGUGGAAGCAUGGUAACGUGUGGAGCUGACUGGUACUAAGAGUCGAAGGU